CAUAUACUCCCUCCAUCCGGAAUUAGUUGACACGCUCAAACGGUUGUAUCUAGUCCUAUUUCAGUGCUAGAUACAUCCAUUUGAGCGUCAACUAAUUACGGACGGAGGGAGUACCUG
rfam:Hordeum vulgare subsp. vulgare, WGS project CAJW01000000 data, contig: morex_contig_138652